rnacentral:rRNA from 1 species
UACUCUAGUGGCGAACGGGUGAGUAACACGUGGGUGAUCUGCCCUGCACUUCGGGAUAAGCUUUGGAAACUGGGUCUAAUACCGGAUAGGAACCAUCUUUAGUGUGGUGGUUGGAAAGUUUUUUCGGUGUAGGAUGAGCUCGCGGCCUAUCAGCUUGUUGGUGGGGUAAUGGCCUACCAAGGCGGCGACGGGUAGCCGGCCUGAGAGGGUGUACGGCCACAUUGGGACUGAGAUACGGCCCAG